rnacentral:rRNA from 1 species
GACGAACGCUGGCGGCGCGCUUAACACAUGCAAGUCGAACGGAAAGGCCUGCUUUCCCUUGUGGAUUGCGGGUACUCGAGUGGCGAACGGGUGAGUAACACGUGAGUGAUCUGCCCCCAACUUGGGUCUAAGCCUGGGAAACUGGGUCUAAUUCCCGAUAGGACUGCAGGGUGGUGCCUGUGGUGGAAAACGAUUUUCUAGUGGUUGGGGAUGAGCUCGCGGCCUAUCAGCUUGUUGGUGGGGUAAUGGCCUACCAAGGCGGCGACGGGGAGCCGGCCUGAGAGGGUGGACGGCCACAUUGGGACAGGGAUACGGCCCAGACUGCUACGGGAGGCAGGAGUGGGGAAUAAUGGACAAUGGGCGGAAGCCUGAAGCAGCGACGGCGCGUGGGGGAUGACGGCCUUCGGGUUGUAAACUCCUUGCGACCGCGAGGAAGCCACCUGGUUGGAAGGGUGGUGACGGUAGUGGUAGAAGAAGCACCGGCUAACUACGUG